rnacentral:rRNA from 1 species
UUAGAUUGCUAUGCGAGCUAGAGCACGCGCUGGCAUAGGCCUCGGUGUAGACUUUGUCGGAGGGAAGACGUACCGUCGAUAGCUNGCUACUACGUGCAGCAGCCGCGGUAAACGUNGAGGCGAGCGUUAUCCGAAUUUACUGGGCGUAAGGCGCGUGCAGGUGGCUGGGCAAAGUUGGGCGUGAAAUCUCCUGGCUUNACUGGGAGGGUUCGUCCCAUACUGUUAGGCUUGAGUGCAGGAGAGGGAAGCGGAAUUCCCGGUGUAGCGGUAAUAUGCGCAGAUAUCGGGAGGAACACCAGUGGCGAAGGCGGCUUCCUGGCCUGUUACUGACGCUAAGACGCGAAAGCUAGGGGAGCGAACGGGAUUAGAUACCCCGGUAGUCCUAGCUGUAAACGAUGGAUACUAGGUGUGGGUGGUAUUGACCCCAUCCGUGCCGAAGCCAACGCGUUAAGUAUCCCGCCUGGGGAGUACGGCCGCAAGGCUAAAACACAAAGGAAUUGACGGGGGCCCGCACAAGCAGCGGAGCGUGUGGUUUAAUUCGAUGCAACGCGAAGAACCUUACCAGGGCUUGACAUGCAAGUGGUAGCGAAGCGAAAGCGGAGCGACCCUUCGGGGAGCUUGCACAGGUGCUGCAUGGCUGUCGUCAGCUCGUGCCGUGAGGUGUUGGGUUAAGUCCCGCAACGAGC